CCUACGGGUGGCAGCAGUGAGGAAUAUUGGUCAAUGGGCGCGAGCCUGAACCAGCCAAGUAGCGUGAAGGAUGACUGCCCUACGGGUUGUAAACUUCUUUUAUAAAGGAAUAAAGUGAGGCACGUGUGCCUUUUUGUAUGUACUUUAUGAAUAAGGAUCGGCUAACUCCGUGCCAUCAGCCGCGGUAAUACGGAGGAUCCGAGCGUUAUCCGGAUUUAUUGGGUUUAAAGGGAGCGUAGAUGGGUUGUUAAGUCAGUUGUGAAAGUUUGCGGCUCAACCGUAAAAGUGCAAUUGAUACUGGCAGUCUUGAGUACAGUUGAGGUAGGCGGAAUGCGUGGUGUAGCGGUGAAAUGCUUAGAUAUCACGAAGAACUCCGAUUGCGAAGGCAGCUUACUAAACUGCCACUGACAUUGAUGCUCGAAAGUGUGGGUAUCAAACAGGAUUAGAUACCCCUGUAGUC
rnacentral:rRNA from 1 species